AUUGAACGCUGGCGGCAGGCCUAACACAUGCAAGUCGAACGAGUGGCGGACGGGUGAGUAAUGUCUGGGAAACUGCCUGAUGGAGGGGGAUAACUACUGGAAACGGUAGCUAAUACCGCAUACCAUAGGAUGUCCACAGAGGGGAUUAGCGAGUAGGUGGGGAAAAGGCUCACCUAGGCGACGAUCCCUCGCGGGUCUGGGAGGAUGACCAUCCACACUGAAAGUGGGAAAGGGCCCAGAAUCCGAGGUGAGGCAGGAGUGGGGAAUAUUGAACAAGGGGCGCAAGCCUGAUGCGGCAAGGCCGCGGUUAUGAAGAAGGCCCUAGGGUUGUAAAGUACUUACAGUCGGGAGGGGUUACGGACAGAAGACGCACCGGCUAACUCCGUGCCAGCAGCCGCGUAAUUC
rnacentral:rRNA from 1 species